rnacentral:sRNA from 1 species
CUUCAGCAGUAGAACAUGACCCUCUUCACACUAUCCUUCAGAGCAGGAAGUGGCUUAACAGCUGCACCACCAGGGGCCCGAGUACGUGAUGUUGAUGAGCCAGAAAGUGGCCCACGUACACCAGGCCCACUAACGACAGAGCUGCUGUCAGAUGUAUCUGGUUCCAUAUAGAAACGAGCACGGAAGGCAGCCAGAUGAGCAUAAUAAGCAGUUCACCAGGUGGUCAGAAAAAAAGGGCAUGCUUACGUGUAGCAAAGGUUGUUGGUAAGAAUCUGCAAUGCAUCAGCUGUGAAGUUGUUUUCAUCCCACAAGACAUGAUAAUGAGCUGGACGACUAGUACCCUGGAGAGCAGGAUCAUGGCUACACAGGUAGAAGUCAAACUCAGUUGGAUGACAGAUCUUUGAAUCUACAACCAUCUACCAGGGAGUAUGUUCCCGCUCCUGUCAACUGAGUUCUGAUCGUUGUGAUUAUGUGCAAAUAAUCUUGUGUGGUGACGUUUCUGAACCACAAUGAAAGUCACCUUUGGUUGGUAAUUUGAUCUGGCAAACUUUUACUUUUCGGAUUGCAUUCAAUUCAUAAAGUAGAACUUGGUAAAAUUGGCCUUCACUAACGCCAUCCCUGACAAAAGAAAACAAGAUCCGGCUUUAUUCUUAAGGAAAGAACUACUAAAAAAUACUGAGUAGCAUACCGGAUCAUGCCACCACUAACUGUUCCUCUCUGUGGAUCCUGCCAGAUUUUAUAUAGAUCUUCUAUCAGCUCUUGUCGGU